rnacentral:rRNA from 1 species
GACGAACGCUGGCGGCGUGCUUAACACAUGCAAGUCGAACGAUGAACCAGGGCUUGCCCUGGGGAUUAGUGGCGAACGGGUGAGUAACACGUGGGCAACCUGCCCCAGACACCGGGAUAACCUCUCGAAAGAGUGCUAAUACCGGAUACGACCACUUUGGGCAUCCAACGGUGGUGGAAAGGAUUCUGGUCUGGGAUGGGCCCGCGGCCUAUCAGCUUGUUGGUGGGGUAAUGGCCUACCAAGGCGACGACGGGUAGCCGGCCUGAGAGGGCGACCGGCCACACUGGGACUGAGACACGGCCCAGACUCCUACGGGAGGCAGCAGUGGGGAAUAUUGCGCAAUGGGCGAAAGCCUGACGCAGCGACGCCGCGUGAGGGACGAAGGUCUUCGGAUUGUAAACCUCUUUCAGCAGGGACGAAGCGAAAGUGACUGUACCUGCAGAAGAAGCACCGGCUAACUACGUGCCAGCCGCCGCAGUAACAC